UAGGUGCUGCAAGACAUUAAGCAUGGUACAAGUCAUUGUUAGACUUGCAUGUCAGGCAUCACAUCACAGUAUUUUCACACUUUAUAUACCGGGUUCAAUUGCGCGAAUAUCAUCUACUUGUUCAUCAAUGGGUAUCAAGUUUGCGUUGUAUUCUUCAGCAUGUUUUACGCUCGUCUGAUCUGCAAUACAUUAUGCAAGAAGCGCAAUAUUAGCAGAAAAGCAAGUAUUCAUAGUACAGUGAACACUACCUGUAGCUAUGGCGUCUUCUUGUUCAUGUUCACCGGCUUUGCUUCUUGCAUUACCCAUUCGCAAAUGAAAUGACCGCUAGCUCUGGUGUUUUUGAGGCCUGGGAGAUGAUCAGAUGGAUAUAAUAGAUGCAACAUGAACGCAAGAGAGAUGGCGAACUUGAAGGCAUGAAUAAGAAGUUCGUAGAUUCACUCAUGCUUGUGCCUCCUGCCCGACUUGUUCUACUUACCGGACUUCUUCAGGCUACUUCAUCUAUGAGAUGACUUCGCUGAAGCAUGCAUUCAAAGCAUUUUCAGGCCAGCCCUCCACCUUUCUUCUAAGGAUCAUGGUGCUCCAACUGGACCCAGGCUACGACAAAGUAUCCAAAGUGUGUAUGCGAUGGCUGUGUGUAUGUGCUGGCAGUGUGUAUGCGAUGGCAGGCUACGACAAAGUAUUUAAUGUGUGUAUGCGAUGGCUGUGUGUAUGUGCUGGCAGUGUGUAUGCGAUGGCAGGCUACGACAAAGUAUCCAAUGUGUGUAUGCGAUGGCAGUGUGUAUG